rnacentral:rRNA from 1 species
GACGAACGCUGGCGGCGUGCCUAAUACAUGCAAGUAGAACGCUGAAGGAGGAGCUUGCUUCUCUGGAUGAGUUGCGAACGGGUGAGUAACGCGUAGGUAACCUGCCUGGUAGCGGGGGAUAACUAUUGGAAACGAUAGCUAAUACCGCAUAAGAGUAGAUGUUGCAUGACAUUUGCUUAAAAGGUGCAAUUGCAUCACUACCAGAUGGACCUGCGUUGUAUUAGCUAGUUGGUGGGGUAACGGCUCACCAAGGCGACGAUACAUAGCCGACCUGAGAGGGUGAUUGGCCACACUGGGACUGAGACACGGCCCAGACUCCUACGGGAGGCAGCAGUAGGGAAUCUUCGGCAAUGGACGGAAGUCUGACCGAGCAACGCCGCGUGAGUGAAGAAGGUUUUCGGAUCGUAAAGCUCUGUUGUAAGAGAAGAACGAGUGUGAGAGUGGAAAGUUCACACUGUGACGGUAUCUUACCAGAAAGGGACGGCUAACUACGUG